GAUGAACGCUGGCGGCGUGCCUAAUACAUGCAAGUCGAGCGAACAGACGAGGAGCUUGCUCCUCUGACGUUAGCGGCGGACGGGUGAGUAACACGUGGAUAACCUACCUAUAAGACUGGGAUAACUUCGGGAAACCGGUGCUAAUACCGGAUAAUAUAUUGAACCGCAUGGUUCAAUAGUGAAAGACGGUUUUGCUGUCACUUAUAGAUGGAUCCGCGCCGCAUUAGCUAGUUGGUAAGGUAACGGCUUACCAAGGCGACGAUGCGUAGCCGACCUGAGAGGGUGAUCGGCCACACGGGAACUGAGACACGGACCAGACUCCUACGGGAGGCAGCAGUAGGGAAUGUUCCGCAAGGGGCGAAAGCCUGACGGAGCAACGCCGAGUGAGUGAUGAAGGUCUUCGGAUCGUAAAACUCUGUUAUUAGGGAAGAACAAAUGUGUAAGUAACUAUGCACGUCUUGACGGUACCUAAUCAGAAAGCCACGGCUAACUACGUG
rnacentral:rRNA from 1 species